AAACUUUACUAUUGUUGUAGUUUUUUAUCAUGCCACUAAAUUAUUACAGUUGUUCUGUCUUGUAAUUGUUGAUGUAGUUAUGUAAUCAGUUUGUAUUAGAUAAAAGCUUUAGAAAUAUCGAUCAACUUUAUUGAUUUAUAUAAGUGUAUAUAAUAUAUUAAAGUUUGAUUCUUGCUUGUUAUAUAUUUUAAUAAUAAAAUACACAUUUAAAUUUUUGUAGGACUAAUUAAUUAUUUAUUUAAAUAAUAAGUGAUUAUUGAGCAUUUAUUAUCUUAUAAAAUCGAAGUGUGAGGCAUUAAUAUUAUAAUUGAAAAAUUGAAUUAGUAAUUAUUUUUAAUUCUGACUAAAAAAUUUGUGCCAGCAGUCGCGGUUAUACUUAGGGAGUAAAUAUAUAAGUGUUGAUUAAUAGUUAAGCAAUUUAUAUUCUAAAUUUAUUUGAUCUGAAUUAGUAAAAGGUGAAAUUAGUUUACUAAAUAUUAGUUUAAAGAAGUUUCUUAAUAUAUGCUGAGGCUAUAUAAUUUGUGAAAUAAACUAGGAUUAGAUACCCUAUUAUACGCGGAUUCAAUAAAAACAAAAUAUCAGAUUAUUUUUAGUUAUGUUCUUAAAAAUCAAAGAACUUGGCGGUACUUUAGUCUUGUUAGAGGAACCUGUUUUAUAAGUGAUAAUCCACGUAGAAUCUUGCUUAAUUUUGUAUAAACAGUAUGUAUACCGUCAUUAUUAGAUAAUUUCUAUAGAAGUAAUUGUUAAAAUUAAUUAUUGAUAUAUUAAGUAUAUUAGAUCAAGGUGCAGCUUAUAGUUAAGUAAAAAUGGGUUACAAUAAUUUAUAAUUAAAUGGAUUAAUUAUUGAAUAAUGAUUAUGAAGGUGGAUUUAAUUGUAAUUUUUAAUUUAAUAAGGAGAGAUGAUAGUAGCUCUAGAUUAUGUACAUAUCGCCCGUCGCUUUCACUACAAGGUGAAAUAAGUCGUAACAUAGUAGGUGUACUGGAAAGUGUACCUAG
rnacentral:ncRNA from 1 species